rnacentral:rRNA from 1 species
UAACAUCUGUGCCAGCAGCCGCGGUAAUACAGAGGGUGCAAGCGUUAAUCGGAAUUACUGGGCGUAAAGCGCGCCGUAGGUGGUUUGUUAAGUUGGAUGUGAAAUCCCCGGGCUCAACCUGGGAACUGCAUUCAAAACUGACUGACUAGAGUAUGGUAGAGGGUGGUGGAAUUUCCUGUGUAGCGGUGAAAUGCGUAGAUAUAGGAAGGAACACCAGUGGCGAAGGCGACCACCUGGACUAAUACUGACACUGAGGUGCGUUAGCGUGGGGAGCAAACAGGAUUAGAUACCCUGGUAGUCCACGCCGUAAACGAUGUCAACUAGCCGUUGGAAGCCUUGAGCUAAUAGUGGCGCAGCUAACGCAUUAAGUUGACCGCCUGGGGAGUACGGCCGCAAGGUUAAAACUCAAAUGAAUUGACGGGGGCCCGCACAAGCGCUGGAGCAUGUGGUUUAAUUCGAAGCAACGCGAAGAACCUUACCAGGCCUUGACAUCCAAUGAACUUUCUAGAGAUAGAUUGGUGCCUUCCGGAACAUUGAGACAGGUGCUGCAUGGCUGUCGUCAGCUCGUCGUGAGAUGUCGGGUUAAGUCCCGUAACGAGCGCAACCCUUGUCCUUAGUAACCAGCACGUAAUGGUGCGCACUCUAAGGAGACUGCCGGUGACAAUCCGGAGGAAGGUGCGGAUGACGUCAAGUCAUCAUGGCGCUUACGGCCUGCGCUACACACGUGCUACAAUGGUCGGUACAGAGGGUUGCCAAGCCGCGAGGUGGAGCUAAUCCCAUAAAACCGAUCGUAGUCCGGAUCGCAGUCUGCAACUCGACUGCGUGAAGUCGGAAUCGCUAGUAAUCGCGAAUCAGAAUGUCGCGGUGAA